GAUGAACGCUAGCUACAGGCUUAACACAUGCAAGUCGAGGGGCAGCAUGGUCUUAGCUUGCUAAGGCCGAUGGCGACCGGCGCACGGGUGAGUAACACGUAUCCAACCUGCCGUCUACUCUUGGACAGCCUUCUGAAAGGAAGAUUAAUACAAGAUGGCAUCAUGAGUCCGCAUGUUCACAUGAUUAAAGGUAUUCCGGUAGACGAUGGGGAUGCGUUCCAUUAGAUAGUAGGCGGGGUAACGGCCCACCUAGUCUUCGAUGGAUAGGGGUUCUGAGAGGAAGGUCCCCCACAUUGGAACUGAGACACGGUCCAAACUCCUACGGGAGGCAGCAGUGAGGAAUAUUGGUCAAUGGGCGCAGGCCUGAACCAGCCAAGUAGCGUGAAGGAUGACUGCCCUAUGGGUUGUAAACUUCUUUUAUAAAGGAAUAAAGUCGGGUAUGGAUACCCGUUUGCAUGUACUUUAUGAAUAAGGAUCGGCUAACUCCGUGCCAGCAGCCGCGGUAAUACGGAGGAUCCGAGCGUUAUCCGGAUUUAUUGGGUUUAAAGGGAGCGUAGAUGGAUGUUUAAGUCAGUUGUGAAAGUUUGCGGCUCAACCGUAAAAUUGCAGUUGAUACUGGAUAUCUUGAGUGCAGUUGAGGCAGGCGGAAUUCGUGGUGUAGCGGUGAAAUGCUUAGAUAUCACGAAGAACUCCGAUUGCGAAGGCAGCCUGCUAAGCUGCAACUGACAUUGAGGCUCGAAAGUGUGGGUAUCAAACAGGAUUAGAUACCCUGGUAGUCCACACGGUAAACGAUGAAUACUCGCUGUUUGCGAUAUACUGCAAGCGACCAAGCGAAAGCGUUAAGUAUUCCACCUGGGGAGUACGCCGGCAACGGUGAAACUCAAAGGAAUUGACGGGGGCCCGCACAAGCGGAGGAACAUGUGGUUUAAUUCGAUGAUACGCGAGGAACCUUACCCGGGCUUAAAUUGCAGAUGAAUUACGGUGUAAGCCGUAAGCCGCAAGGCAUCUGUGAAGGUGCUGCAUGGUUGUCGUCAGCUCGUGCCGUGAGGUGUCGGCUUAAGUGCCAUAACGAGCGCAACCCUUGUUGUCAGUUACUAACAGGUUCCGCUGAGGACUCUGACAAGACUGCCAUCGUAAGAUGUGAGGAAGGUGGGGAUGACGUCAAAUCAGCACGGCCCUUACGUCCGGGGCUACACACGUGUUACAAUGGGGGGUACAGAGGGCCGCUACCACGCGAGUGGAUGCCAAUCCCAAAAACCUCUCUCAGUUCGGACUGGAGUCUGCAACCCGACUCCACGAAGCUGGAUUCGCUAGUAAUCGCGCAUCAGCCACGGCGCGGUGAAUACGUUCCCGGGCCUUGUACACACCGCCCGUCAAGCCAUGGGAGCCGGGGGUACCUGAAGUGCGUAACCGCGAGGAGCGCCCUAGGGUAAAACUGGUGACUGGGGCU
rnacentral:rRNA from 1 species